UAGGGAAUGUUCGGUAAUGGACGAAAGGCUGGCCGAGCAACGCCGCGCGGGGGAAGAAAGGAUUCGGAUCGGAAAACACUGUUGUUAGAGAAGAAAAAGGACGUUAGUAACUGAACGUCCACUGACGGUAGCUAACCAGAAAGCAACGGCUGACUACGUGCCAGGAGCGGCGGUGAUACGUAGGUGGCAAGCGUGGUCAGGAUGUGUAGGGCGUAAAGCGAGCGCAGGGGGUUACUUAAGUCUGAUGUGAAAGCCCCCGGCUCAAUCGGGGAGGUGGAUAGGAAACGGGGAGACAGGAGUGGAGGAGAGGGGAGUGGAAUUCGAAGUGGAGCGGUGAAAUGCGUAGAUGAAGGAAGGAAGACCAGUGGGGAAGGCGGCUCGCUGGACCGUAACCGCCGCUGAGGCUGGAAAGCGUGGGGAGCAAACAGG
rnacentral:rRNA from 1 species